GGGCUCAUUUUGGCAGCGCAGGUACUGCAAGUGGAAUGACACAGAGAUGAGCAUGGUCCCUGUGCAAGGAUGACACAGAAAUUCGUGAAGCUCCAUACUGUUUU